rnacentral:rRNA from 1 species
ACGCUCGACACCUACGGGGGGCAGCAGUGAGGAAUAUUGGUCAAUGGGCGCUAGCCUGAACCAGCCAAGUAGCGUGAAGGAUGAAGGCUCUAUGGGUCGUAAACUUCUUUUAUAUAAGAAUAAAGUGCAGUAUGUAUACUGUUUUGUAUGUAUUAUAUGAAUAAGGAUCGGCUAACUCCGUACCAGCAGCCGCGGUAAUCUGAGCGGGCUGGCAAGGC